AACUGGUGAGUAACACGUGGGAAACCUGCCCAGAAGCGGGGGAUAACACCUGGAAACAGAUGCUAAUACCGCAUAACAACUUGGACCGCAUGGUCCGAGUUUGAAAGAUGGCUUCGGCUAUCACUUUUGGAUGGUCCCGCGGCGUAUUAGCUAGAUGGUGAGGUAACGGCUCACCAUGGCAAUGAUACGUAGCCGACCUGAGAGGGUAAUCGGCCACAUUGGGACUGAGACACGGCCCAAACUCCUACGGGAGGCAGCAGUAGGGAAUCUUCCACAAUGGACGAAAGUCUGAUGGAGCAACGCCGCGUGAGUGAAGAAGGGUUUCGGCUCGUAAAACUCUGUUGUUAAAGAAGAACAUAUCUGAGAGUAACUGUUCAGGUAUUGACGGUAUUUAACCAGAAAGCCACGGCUAACUACGUGCCAGCAGCCGCGGUAAUACGUAGGUGGCAAGCGUUGUCCGGAUUUAUUGGGCGUAAAGCGAGCGCAGGCGGUUUUUUAAGUCUGAUGUGAAAGCCUUCGGCUCAACCGAAGAAGUGCAUCGGAAACUGGGAAACUUGAGUGCAGAAGAGGACAGUGGAACUCCAUGUGUAGCGGUGAAAUGCGUAGAUAUAUGGAAGAACACCAGUGGCGAAGGCGGCUGUCUGGUCUGUAACUGACGCUGAGGCUCGAAAGUAUGGGUAGCAAACAGGAUUAGAUACCCUGGUAGUCCAUACCGUAAACGAUGAAUGCUAAGUGUUGGAGGGUUUCCGCCCUUCAGUGCUGCAGCUAACGCAUUAAGCAUUCCGCCUGGGGAGUACGGCCGCAAGGCUGAAACUCAAAGGAAUUGACGGGGGCCCGCACAAGCGGUGGAGCAUGUGGUUUAAUUCGAAGCUACGCGAAGAACCUUACCAGGUCUUGACAUACUAUGCAAAUCUAAGAGAUUAGACGUUCCCUUCGGGGACAUGGAUACAGGUGGUGCAUGGUUGUCGUCAGCUCGUGUCGUGAGAUGUUGGGUUAAGUCCCGCAACGAGCGCAACCCUUAUUAUCAGUUGCCAGCAUUAAGUUGGGCACUCUGGUGAGACUGCCGGUGACAAACCGGAGGAAGGUGGGGAUGACGUCAAAUCAUCAUGCCCCUUAUGACCUGGGCUACACACGUGCUACAAUGGAUGGUACAACGAGUUGCGAACUCGCGAGAGUAAGCUAAUCUCUUAAAGCCAUUCUCAGUUCGGAUUGUAGGCUGCAACUCGCCUACAUGAAGUCGGAAUCGCUAGUAAUCGCGGAUCAGCAUGCCGCGGUGAAUACGUUCCCG
rnacentral:rRNA from 1 species